UGAUGCAGCGACGCCGCGUGAGGGAUGACGGCCUUCGGGUUGUAAACCUCUUUCAGUAGGGAAGAAGCGAAAGUGACGGUACCUGCAGAAGAAGCGCCGGCUAACUAC
rnacentral:rRNA from 1 species